UGUAUUUUCCUCUCAUUAUUUCUCAAUAUAAAUUUGUUUCUGGGAUGUUCUGUCUUAUUAUUAGAUAUUUACUAUUUUUAAGGAUAUCUACAUAUUUAUAUUACUUACUGUUUUGUCUUUGUAAAGAGGGCCUUAAUCUUUCCAAUUAGUCUAAUGUAAUCCAACAUUGCAAGAACUUUCUGGAGAAAAUGAGAAAGCACCAGAGAUAGCCCAUUGAGAGACCACAGAAAUUUUUACAUCUACAUCUAGCUUCCAGAAUCAGGGAGGUUUGGUAGUGUCACUUCCGUGAGUGAGAGGUUACUUUCAGGAGCUGGGGUGACUAAUGGACAGCCACACCUUAUGGUGAUGACUAAAAAAGCCACAUUUCUGGAGCUCCAGGGAAAACUUGCAGGUAGCUUUUCUUAAGUCUUCUCUUGGCCAGUAAUUCUUUCCUGCUGACUGAACCCUGAGAGGGGCUUUAUGGAUCAGCUAAGUCAUCAGAGCUCCUACAGCUUGAUAAGUUUUAUGAGCUUCCUGCAUUGUAUGGGCCAAAAUCCUUCCUUCAGGUGGGAAUGUCCUAAUGAGCUACUUCCAUCAAAAUAGCUACACUAAUGCUUAGGUUAGUCUGGAGGUCCAGUCCUUAUGUAUUCCAGGGUGGCCUUGUACUGCUGUAGGCUAACUGUAUCUGUUAAUUCCAUCUUGGAAGAAUAAGAUUACUACCACAACUUUUUAGCUAAGUUUGAAGCAAGUUUUACUCAAUAUUGUCUGGGAUGAUGGACACCUAAUAGGUCCAUACCAGGAUUUCCAGAGAAUGGCCCUGAAUUACGUUAAUUCAGUGCUUAUAAAGAGAAACACCAAAAUACUGCAUACUUCCCAUAUUUGUCCAAUCCAAGGCAAGUAUUCAUCCUGAUAUGCUUUGUGCCUGUGUACCUCCAUCCUACAUGUGAUCAUGCACAUCGUGGGCAGUUGGGGGCAAUCCACGUUAUUUAUAGAAGUGAAAACAUGUGGUAUGUUAUCUUAUAUGAACAGCCUGGAGCAUUUCAGGAAGUUACCUGUCCUUGAGAAGGUGGGGCUUAAAGGUUUAUCUGUUCUUAGGAAAGCUGGCUUACAAGUUAGAGAUAUUUUUGUGGGUUUUUUUUUAUUUUUUUUAUUUUUUUAAUAGGGUUGCAGACCCCUUUAGCUCCUUAGUUACUUUCUCUAGCUCCUCCAUUGGGGGCCCUGUGAUCCGUCCAAUAGCUUACUGUGAGCAUCCAUUUCUGUGUUUGCUAGGCCCCGACAUAGUCUCACAAGAGACAGCUAUAUCAGGGUCCUUUCAGCAAAAUCUUGCUAGUGUAUGCAAUGGUGUCUGCGUUUGGUGGCUGAUUAUGGGAUGGAUCCCCAGAUAUGGUAGUCUUGAUGGUCCAUCCUUUUAAGCACAAUAAUUAAAUCUUAAAACAUUAUCACCUGUGGAAAUAAUUUUUUCAAAUAUUACAAUUUUUUAACAGUCACAUUUUAAUUUCUCUCAUUUUUAUUAUGAACAGAACAAGGAAUCUGACUAUGGCUUAUUAAAUUUUUAUGGUUGCAAAACAAUACCAUGCAGCACAGGGUAAUCGUUGUACAACAGGCAUGCAGAGCUCAUACUUCUUGCCUGAAAAGUUGUUCCCAUAGUUUUUCCCCAACUCUCUUUAUUCUCUUCUACCUAUGCCUUGAUAGCCACUUUAUUGUUCUUUGGUUCUAUGAAUUGUACCUCAGUACCUUAUAUAGUAAGUAAGUGACAAACUUUCUGGGAAUAGCCUGCUUACUCAAGGUCAUCCUAAAAGCUUUUUCAUGCUACAUAUUGUAGAACUACUUUCCCCUUUUUGGCUAAUAGCAUUCCAGAGGUGUGUGUGUUCAUGUGUGUAUUAUUAUCCAUCUGUCAAUCAGGAUACAUAUCUUUGCUACUUUGAAUACUACUGCAAUAAACGUAGGAAUGAUACCACUUUUAGGUACUGACCUGAAUUCAAGCCAUUGCAGUCCUCCUUCCCCCCAGUCAUUUAAGAAUUAUAAGUGGAAGGAUUUGGGACUGGGGCAAUCUACAUUAAUUGCAAUAAAUAAUUUUAAUACAAAGACAUGCUCACUGAAUUUUGUCACACUCACUAAUUGAACACAAAAUUAUCAAAAUGACUACAUACCACUAUUUAAUUGUUACAUUGCUUUCUAGUUAUAAUGUAAGUAAAAGAAACUGCAGCGAGGCUUCUGUCCCUCUGUUGUGCAAGUUCUUGUACUAAGUGAACUUUACCACUUUAAGUCAACACAUUCAUAAAAUCAGUGAAAUUAAGUUUCACAGACUAUCAAGUGACUACUCUUGUAAAAUUUGAGAAUGUAAGAAUUGGAAUGAGUGAUAAAGACAUCAUAACUCACCCCCUUAUUACACUGGAGGAAACUGGUGUCCAGAAUGAUUAAAUCGCACACCCACUCUCAUAUUACCCAACCAGCAGAAUGAAAGUGUGGUGCUGCCCGGUAGAGUUUAUGAUCACUCUUUUUCUCGUUCUUUGAUAUAAUUUUUAUGUCUUUCUUAAUGUUUCCCUGGUAAAUAUAUUCCUGCAUAACCUACACAAAGUUAGUUUUAUUUAUUUUAUAUCAUCUCCUGCCACACAUAUCUGUGUUUAUUAAAAGUACAAAAUUACAGUUAUUUUCUUUUUCCUCCAAUUCAAAACAUUUAUUCAAAGUUAUAUCUCAAUAUACCUUAUGGCUCCAACAUUUUCAAAUGUACAUACAUGAUAUCUCACUACAGUUUUUGGUCAUUGUUGUUUUGAAGCAGGGUCUUAUACAUCCCAAAUAAGCCUGAAACUUACUAUAUAUUCAAAGAUGGCUUGAAUUCCUGACCUUCCUGCCUUUCUCUCCCAAGUGCUAGGAUGACAGAUCUGUGCUAACCCACCCAGCAUACUUCAUACUUUCUUAGGUCACCACAGUGUUGAUUAUUUCACACAGUUGGAUUUGAGAAACACAUCAAUGGGCAUCCAUUCAUGUGUGCUCAUGGACUCAUAACUUUUAAAGUGGUAGGUUUCUAUUAAGUUAGACUUAAGUUACAUAAAGAACUGCAUGUAUCGUGCUACUUUCUAAGUAACAACAACAGCAGCAACAACAACUUCUGCUAUUACAAUCAUGAACUGUAUCAUUAUGGCCUGGUCUAGCCUCUAUAUAAGUAUAAUGAAGUGUUGUAGCCCAUAACACUUGACAUUUUUAUUCUAAAAUAGCGAAAUAUUUCUAACUUGAAUGAGAUUUGCUAAACACAGGGUUUGUUUUCUAUACAUCGGCUACAGCCUUUGCUUUUAUAUUUUCUGCAUCCAUAUUACUUUUAUAAUUGAACUCUGAAUUGAUAUUCUAGUAUGGACCUCAGUUAAGUAUUUACUGGCAUGGAGUCACUCCCACCUUACUUAAUUUUCUUGGUUUUCGUUUAAUGUACCAAUGCCAAAUCUCAACUCCUGGUCCACAGUGCUCUAUGUUAGGAACUCCGCACACUCACAGUUAUUUUACCUUGGUGACUCUUCUGCCCUCUGGUGUCUGAAAUGAGCAACUGAACAAACAGGUUUUCUUUAGAUGAAUUUUUAGAAUCUUUACUGUCCUGUUUGGUUUAGUGCUGUGAAGUUCCAAUUGAGAAAAAAAAAAGAAGAAGAAGAAG
rnacentral:lncRNA from 1 species